rnacentral:rRNA from 1 species
AGAGUUUGAUCAUGGCUCAGGAUGAACGCUAGCGGCAGGCUUAAUACAUGCAAGUCGAACGGUAAGGUCUCUUCGGAGAUACACGAGUGGCGCACGGGUGCGUAACGCGUAUGCAACCUACCUUUAACUGGGAAAUAGCCCCGAGAAAUCGGGAUUAAUGUCCCAUACCAUUCUUUGAAUGCAUAUUCGAAGAAUGAAAGCUCCGGCGGUUAUUGAUGGGCAUGCGUGACAUUAGCUAGUUGGUGAGGUAACGGCUCACCAAGGCUACGAUGUCUAGGGGUCCUGAGAGGGUUAACCCCCACACUGGUACUGAGACACGGACCAGACUCCUACGGGAGGCAGCAGUAAGGAAUAUUGGGCAAUGGACGCAAGUCUGACCCAGCCAUGCCGCGUGAAGGAUGAAUGUCCUAUGGAUUGUAAACUUCUUUUAUGCAGGAAAAAUAUCCCGGUCGUGAACCGGGACUGAUGGUACUGUAUGAAUAAGCAUCGGCUAACUCCGUGCCAGCAGCCGCGGUAAUACGGAGGAUGCAAGCGUUAUCCGGAUUCAUUGGGUUUAAAGGGUGCGCAGGCGGAAUAAUAAGUCAGUGGUGAAAUCUCCCGGCUCAACCGGGAAACUGCCUUUGAUACUGUUGUUCUUGAGUACAGUCGAAGUGGGCGGAAUGUGUCAUGUAGCGGUGAAAUGCUUAGAUAUGACACAGAACACCGAUAGCGAAGGCAGCUCACUAAGCUGUAACUGACGCUCAUGCACGAAAGCGUGGGGAUCAAACAGGAUUAGAUACCCUGGUAGUCCACGCUGUAAACGAUGAUCACUCGUUGUUAGCGAUAUACUGUUAGCGACUGAGGGAAACCAUUAAGUGAUCCACCUGGGGAGUACGGCGGCAACGUUGAAACUCAAAUGAAUUGACGG